UACGUAGGCAGCGAGCGUUGUUCGGAGUUACUGGGCGUAAAGGGUGUGUAGGCGGUUGUUUAAGUUUGGUGUGAAAUCUCCCGGCUCAACUGGGAGGGUGCGCCGAAUACUGAAUGACUAGAGUGCGGGAGAGGAAAGUGGAAUUCCUGGUGUAGCGGUGAAAUGCGUAGAUAUCAGGAGGAACACCGGUGGUGUAGACGGCUUUCUGGACCGUAACUGACGCUGAGGCGCGAAAGCUAGGGGAGCAAACAGG
rnacentral:rRNA from 1 species